rnacentral:rRNA from 1 species
ACGAACGCUGGCGGCGUGUCUAAGGCAUGCAAGUCGAACGGGUGCAAUUAAGUAGCAAUACUUGAAAGCGCUAGUGGCAAACGGGUGCGUAACACAUUGGUAAUCUACCCCGAGGUUCGGUACAACUCUCCGAAAGGAGAGCUAAUUCCGGAUGUGAUCCCCUAGCAUAAGCUGGGGUAUGAAAGGCGCAAGUCGCCUUGGGAGGAACCUAUGGCUCAUCAGCUUGUUGGUAAGGUAACGGCUUACCAAGGCUAUGACGAGUAUCGGGUGUGGGAGCAUGACCCGACUCACAGGGACUGAGACACUGCCCUGACUUCUACGGAAGGCUGCAGUCAAGAAUUUUCCUCAAUGGACGAAAGUCUGAAGGAGCGACGCCGCGUGCAGGAAGAAACUCUUCGGGGUGUAAACUGCUUUUUUAUGGGAAUAAGAUCUGAAUGUACCAUACGAAUAAGGACCUGCUAAACUCGU